UACGUAGGUGGCAAGCGUUGUCCGGAUUUACUGGGCGUAAAGAGCGCGCAGGCGGUCAGAUAAGUCGAAUGUGAAAGCCCCCGGCUCAACUGGGGAGGGUCAUUCGAUACUGUUCGACUCGAAGGCAGGAGAGGGAAGCGGAAUUCCCGGUGUAGUGGUGAAAUGCGUAGAUAUCGGGAGGAACACCAGUGGCGAAGGCGGCUUCCUGGCCUGUUCUUGACGCUGAGGCGCGAAAGCUAGGGGAGCAACGGGG
rnacentral:rRNA from 1 species